rnacentral:misc_RNA from 1 species
UAAUAAGUGUUUUAUGGCACUUUUUAAAUCCAUAUCCACCUUGUGUGCAAUGUCAGUCGAUCUUCUUCAUGGAGAUCCGACCAAACAUCAACCUUUAUCUUUUAACUCUUUGUCUGAAAAAUAUUAUGAAUAAACAAUUCAAAAUA